rnacentral:lncRNA from 1 species
CCGGCGUCCCGGAGGCAUCAUCAUCGUCAUCAUCAUCGUCAUCAUCGUCAUCAUCAUCAUCGUCGUCAUCAUCGUCAUCAUCAUUCUGGAACGUCUGUGUUGCCUCCAGUGAUCCCUCAAGUGUGUGAGUCCUGUUAUUACACAUUACACAAACCACUGUCAGUAAGUAGUAGCACAGCGCCCUCUGCUGUCACGGUGACGCACAUGCACCACCAUCAGGGAGAACCAGGAUUGUAUGAGCAAAAAACAACAACAACAACAACAACAACAACAAUAAUGAAAAUAAUAAUAAUAGAUUUCUAUUUUUCCUGGUGGGCUCCUGGCCUCCCCUCCUGAAGUUUCCCCUCCUGAGGGAUCGAGUGGUGAACUCCUCGGCUGUUCCCUUCCCUGGUGUCAGUCGACCGUUUACAUUAGUUGCCUAGUUAAACGCAGACAGAUUUCCAAAAUAUCCCAGGACCUCAGAAGUCACGCGCCCCUAAAGAAGCACAUUGGAAUUGGUUCUCAAAUAAAUAGCUGCCAAUCAUCCGUGUGCAACACAUUCAUCUGCCCUUUGGUUCCUCCUGGUUGGGAGGAGGCUGAAGCUGCUCUCAAGGUCUUUUACAUCCCACAACUGUGUUUUUAAGAGCAGACAGACGGAGGAUGAAACAUCUCCAACUGAAGAAAGAUGAAAUGACGAGACGACUUCCUGAACAUUGAUCAGGUCUCCAUGAACGACCUGAUGAUGACGACGCACGAACAGUCUUAUCGGCCCUCGACUGCUUCCCUUCGGAUGAAAUCAAGAUUAAGAUACAUAUUUUAGAUCUUUUGCCUCAGCUCAUGUUCACUGAACUGCUUCUACAGUGGCUCCAUGGAAACGUCAGACUGUAUUUGUCCAUAUAUACAGCAAGAGACUAAAAGCCUUUAGUUCUGAAUUUCAUUAUUAAGUUUCAUAACCUGAACAGUGAACUUUGCUUUUACAUGUUUUUGUUUUUUGUUUUAUUUACCCACGUCUAAAAUUAGCAAAGUAAAGAAAAAUUAAAGUCUCAGAUUUUAUUUUGGAAUCAAA